UACGUAGGGUGCAAGCGUGUCCGGAAUUAUUGGGCGUAAAGAGCUCGUAGGCGGUUUGUCGCGUCUGCCGUGAAAGUCCGGGGCUCAACUCCGGAUCUGCGGUGGGUACGGGCAGACUAGAGUGAUGUAGGGGAGACUGGAAUUCCUGGUGUAGCGGUGAAAUGCGCAGAUAUCAGGAGGAACACCGAUGGCGAAGGCAGGUCUCUGGGCAUUAACUGACGCUGAGGAGCGAAAGCAUGGGGAGCGAACAGG
rnacentral:rRNA from 1 species